UACGUAGGGGGCAAGCGUUGUCCGGAAUCAUUGGGCGUAAAGCGCGUGUAGGCGGUCCGGUAAGUCGGCUGUGAAAGUCCAGGGCUCAACCCUGGAAAGCCGGUGGAUACUGCGAGGCUAGAGUCCGGAAGGGGCGAGUGGAAUUCCUGGUGUAGCGGUGAAAUGCGUAGAUAUGCGGAGGAACACCGAUGGCGAAGGCAAUCCCCUGGGCCUGCACUGACGCUCAUGCACGAAAGCGUGGGGAGCAAACAGG
rnacentral:rRNA from 1 species